rnacentral:lncRNA from 1 species
CAAAUUCCAUCUGUUUUGGGGUUAACUCACUACGCAGUAACGAAAGAACACUUGAGAACUUGUCAACUUUGGAAGCUGAAACUUAGUUGAAGUAUAGGGCCUGAAGAGUGGAUGAUCUAAAAAAAGGUUUAACAGAGAAGAGAAGAACCGUGGAAAGCGUAUCAAUGAUAUAGUGGGAUCCCAAUAUAGCGGAUGUAGAUCUAAACUGAAAUUCCUCAACUACUAGAAUUAUAAUUAGCGGAGACAUGGUUUACAAAGAGGAGAAAAACC